rnacentral:lncRNA from 1 species
CUUCAGCUUCCUGAAGCCACCAGCUCUCAACAGGCCCCAGCCCUAACCACAAGCCAGAUCCUUCCCUGCUCUCUCAGACCAUUUCACACCCACCUGGGAGGCCUGUCUGUCCGCUCAAAGAGCUCAAUUAUGAAGGAUUCCAGUGUAAGAAACAGCAGAAUCAACAGCCCUGAGGCACAAGGAGCUUGGCACCUCCAGGAAGGAAGAAGCCCAGGGAAUUGAGCACAGGGACUGGAUCAACAGAUCAAGAGGCCUGGAGGCAGGAAGGCCACGGCCUCAG